rnacentral:rRNA from 1 species
UUGGUUUAAGUCUAAAAUGACUCUCGGCAACGGAUAUCUCGGCUCUCGCAUCGAUGAAGAACGUAGCGAAAUGCGAUACUUGGUGUGAAUUGCAGAAUCCCGUGAACCAUCGAGUCUUUGAACGCAAGUUGCGCCUGAAGCCAUCAGGUUGAGGGCACG